rnacentral:rRNA from 1 species
CAGGCCUAACACAUGCAAGUCGAGCGGUAGCACAGAGAGCUUGCUCUCGGGUGACGAGCGGCGGACGGGUGAGUAAUGUCUGGGAAACUGCCUGAUGGAGGGGGAUAACUACUGGAAACGGUAGCUAAUACCGCAUAACGUCGCAAGACCAAAGAGGGGGACCUUCGGGCCUCUUGCCAUCAGAUGUGCCCAGAUGGGAUUAGCUAGUAGGUGGGGUAACGGCUCACCUAGGCGACGAUCCCUAGCUGGUCUGAGAGGAUGACCAGCCACACUGGAACUGAGACACGGUCCAGACUCCUACGGGAGGCAGCAGUGGGGAAUAUUGCACAAUGGGCGCAAGCCUGAUGCAGCCAUGCCGCGUGUAUGAAGAAGGCCUUCGGGUUGUAAAGUACUUUCAGCGGGGAGGAAGGUGUUGAGGUUAAUAACCUCAGCAAUUGACGUUACCCGCAGAAGAAGCACCGGCUAACUCCGUGCCAGCAGCCGCGGUAAU